rnacentral:lncRNA from 1 species
GCGGAGGCUUCUGGGUACUCCCCAGGCGCCAGCUCUGGAAGUGGUCUUGGUGUUCUGUGGGGUAUCCGGGCGGGCGGGCGCGCGAGCGGGAAGGUUGGAGUCGAAGCGGAAACGGACCUGCGUACCCCUUUCUCCCUCCAGCAGCCUGCCGCAGUGGACGCCGAACUUUAGGGGGGAUAUUGCGGUUAGCCAGCAUGCUAGUUACUGAAUUGUGUAAACUGACUCUUCCGAUAAGCAAGUCAAAUCUUGAUGUUUUUGUUACGUAAAAUGAUGUGAAGAAAUGGUAUUUGUUGAAUUCCUUGAUUAUUAUUUUCUUAAAUAUAUAUCACUUUUAGGAUAACAAA